AUUGAACGCUGGCGGCAUGCCUUACACAUGCAAGUCGAACGGCAGCAUGGAAGAGCUUGCUCUUCUGAUGGCGAGUGGCGAACGGGUGAGUAAAGCAUCGGAACGUACCGUAUAGUGGGGGAUAACGUAGCGAAAGUUACGCUAAUACCGCAUACGCACUGAGGUGGAAAGCAGGGGAUCGCAAGACCUUGCGCUAUACGAGCGGCCGAUGUCAGAUUAGCUAGUUGGUAGGGUAAAGGCCUACCAAGGCGACGAUCUGUAGCGGGUCUGAGAGGAUGAUCCGCCACACUGGGACUGAGACACGGCCCAGACUCCUACGGGAGGCAGCAGUGGGGAAUUUUGGACAAUGGGGGAAACCCUGAUCCAGCCAUGCCGCGUGAGUGAAGAAGGCCUUCGGGUUGUAAAGCUCUUUCGGCUGGGAAGAAAUCGCACAGGCUAAUACUCUGUGUGGAAUGACGGUACCAGCAUAAGAAGCACCGGCUAACUACGUGCCAGCAGCCGCCGCAG
rnacentral:rRNA from 1 species